rnacentral:lncRNA from 1 species
GCUUCCUUCACCAAAACAUGAACAUUGCCAAAAACACUAUGAUUCCAAUCCUUCAAGUUUUGCUUCAGAAUCUUCAAUUUUUGAGUAAGCAUAAACAUAGGACAACCACUAAUUCAAGAGUUCCAACUAUUUGUUACGACAUUCUAGCAGUCUUCAUAAAGUGUCCACAACUUGAGAAAUCUAAAUUUGUCAUAGCAUGAGGUUGUCACUAUUUCUAAUUUCAUUGAUACAAAACUGAAAAAUAAUAAUAGGAAAAAUGUUAUACCAAUGUGAUUGAGAAAUAUAAGAAAGAACACAAGACCCAAAUGUGACUGAUAAAAUAAAUAUAGGACCAAUAUUUGUGAGUGAUAAAUAUAAAUAAAAAAAUACGAGACAAAUAUUUGUGAGUGAUGAAUAUUCUUACAUUUUUUCAGCAUCUAUCAAUAAGGUGACAUAAUUUUUUGUAAUUUAUACAUGCGUCUAUAUUUUUACUCAUAUAUCAAUAUGAUACUUAAGUUAUAAUUUAUCUAUAUUUUUACUCAUAUAUCAAUAUGGUACUUAAGUUAUAAUUUAUCUAUAUUUUUACUCAUAUAUCAAUACGGCUACCUCUUUACUCGUAUAUCAAUACAUGUACCUAUUUUUUAUUUCUAUUUUACAUUUAUACACAUGUCUAUAUUUUUAGUCAUAUAUCAACAUGGAUUCCUAAUUUUGUUAAAUUAUACAUGUGUUCUACUGUCUUGUUGUCUUGAUUUAUUUCUAACACAAUGAAAAAGAUUUAUCUGAACAAAGAAAAUUAAAUAUCAUGUUCAUGCUAACACUUGUGAUUUAUGCAGGUUGGCAAGAUAAAAAAGUUGGAGCUUGAAACUAGAUAUCAUGAGAAUGAAGAGAGAAAUUGAUUGAUGACAACAGUUAUAUUCUCUUAACAAAUAUCCUUAUAGAAAAGCAGCGGCUUUAAAAUAAUUUUUUUUUGGAGAUAUUUUAUUUCUAGAACAAACAAAAUCCACAUGAAAUCAAAUAUAAAUGAAUAUUUGAUACCAUGGUGGAUUGGCCAAAUUAA